GUAUUUUAUUGAACUCACAACACACAUACUAAAACUGAAAGAUACAGACAGGAUUAACAUAAACACUGUUCAAGGAGGGCAUAUAUAUUUGUGAAGUGUUCUAUGUUUUU
rfam:Cavia porcellus supercont2_4 genomic scaffold, whole genome shotgun sequence.